rnacentral:rRNA from 1 species
UACGAAGGGGGCUAGCGUUGCUCGGAAUUACUGGGCGUAAAGGGAGCGUAGGCGGACAGUUUAGUCAGAGGUGAAAGCCCAGGGCUCAACCCUGGAAUUGCCUUUGAUACUGAUUGUCUUGAGUAUGGGAGAGGUGAGUGGAACUCCGAGUGUAGAGGUGAAAUUCGUAGAUAUUCGGAAGAACACCAGUGGCGAAGGCGACUCACUGGCCCGUAACUGACGCUGAGGUGCGAAAGCGUGGGGAGCAAACAGG